GCCAUGCAUGUCUCAGUACAAGCCAAAUUAAGGUGAAACCGCGAAAGGCUCAUUAAAUCAGUUAUGGUUCAUUAGAUCGUACCCACAUUUACUUGGAUAACUGUGGUAAUUCUAGAGCUAAUACAUGCAAACAGAGCUCUGACCGGAGACGGAAGGAGUGCUUUUAUUAGAUCAAAACCAAUCGGUGGCAGUUUAGUUUCGGCUAUACUGUUUAUCGCAUUAUUUGGUGACUCUGAAUAACUUUUGGCUGAUCGCACGGUCUCGCACCGGCGACGCAUCUUUCAAAUGUCUGCCUUAUCAACUGUCGAUGGUAGGAUCUGCGCCUACCAUGGUUGUAACGGGUAACGGGGAAUCAGGGUUCGAUUCCGGAGAGGGAGCCUGAGAAACGGCUACCACAUCCAAGGAAGGCAGCAGGCGCGCAAAUUACCCACUCCCGGCACGGGGAGGUAGUGACGAAAAAUAACGAUACAGGACUCAUCCGAGGCCCUGUAAUCGGAAUGAGAACACUUUAAAUCCUUUAACAAGGACCUAUUAGAGGGCCAGUCUGGUGCCAGCAGCCGCGGUAAUUCCAGCUCUAAUAGCGUAUAUUAAAGUUGUUGCGGUUAAAAAGCUCGUAGUUGAAUUUGUGUUCCACGCUGUCGGUUCACCGCCCGCGGUGUUUAACUGGCAUGUCUCGUGGAACGUCCUGCCGGUGGACGUUUUGGUCUUUGUUAAUUUCCCACUUUAUUAUUCAUAAAUAUUUACCUUUAGGUAUAAUAUUUAUGGUGUGAAGGUUUGGUGGAUUACAUUGUAACCAGCGUCCGCAAUUUAAAUAUUUCCCUGUUGCGGUGCUCUUAAUUGAGUGUCAUGACGGGCCGGCACGUUUACUUUGAACAAAUUAAAGUGCUUAAAGCAGGCUAAAAUUUUGCCUGAAUACUAGUGCAUGGAAUAAUGGAAUAGGACCUCAGUUCCAUUUUGUUGGUUUUUUUGGGAACCCUGAGGUAAUGAUUAAUAGGAACAGAUGGGGGCAUUCGUAUUGCGACGUUAGAGGUGAAAUUCUUGGAUCGUCGCAAGACGAACAGUUGCGAAAGCAUUUGCCAAAAAUGUUUUCAUUAAUCAAGAACGAAAGUCAGAGGUUCGAAGGCGAUCAGAUACCGCCCUAGUUCUGACCAUAAACGAUGCCAGCUAGCGAUCCGCCGACGUUCCUCCGAUGACUCGGCGGGCAGCUUCCGGGAAACCAAAGCUUUUGGGUUCCGGGGGAAGUAUGGUUGCAAAGCUGAAACUUAAAGGAAUUGACGGAAGGGCACCACCAGGAGUGGAGCCUGCGGCUUAAUUUGACUCAACACGGGAAAGCUCACCAGGCCCGGACACUCGAAGGAUUGACAGAUUGAGAGCUCUUUCUUGAUUGAGUGGGCGGUGGUGCAUGGCCGU
rnacentral:rRNA from 1 species